GUAGGAGGUGGGAGGAUCACUUGAGCCCAAAAGUUCGAGACCAGCCUCGGCAACAAAGCAAAACUCUGUCUCUGAAAAUUAAAUAAAUAUUAUCACCUCUCUUUUAAAACUCAAAAACUCUUAAUAAACACUUCACAAUCAACUAACAAGUCUAUGAAAUAAUGCGUAAUUUUAUUAGUCAUCAGGAAAUUGCAAACUGAAAACUCAAAUUAAAACUCACUCUAGAAUUACUAAAGUUAAAAAAGGUGGAAAAUAUCAACUGCUAGAAAGGAUGUGGA
rnacentral:lncRNA from 1 species